UAGGCGGCUAGUUUAAUUAAAAUACUUGAUUUCGGCUCAAAAACUUAUGGUUAAAGUCCAUAGCUGCCUA
rnacentral:tRNA from 1 species